UGAUAAUCCUUUCCAAUCAAUAUUAAUCUAUUGCUACAAAACAAAUAUAAGAGUGAAAGAACCAACAAGGAGACAGAGUGAAACAACAUUCAAGAAAAGACAAACCCAAAAGGUUUAAGACUACAAAUUGCAAUCAAAGAGGCCAAAUGAAGCAGAUGAAGACCACUCAGGCUGAGACAAUG
rnacentral:lncRNA from 1 species